rnacentral:rRNA from 1 species
UACGGAGGGUGCGAGCGUUGUCCGGAAUCACUGGGCGUAAAGGGCGCGUAGGCGGCCUGAUAAGUAGGGGGUGAAAUCCUGCGGCUUAACCGCAGGGCUGCCUUCUAAACUGUCAGGCUGGAGCACAGUAGAGGCAGGUGGAAUUCCCGGUGUAGCGGUGGAAUGCGUAGAGAUCGGGAAGAACAUCAGUGGCGAAGGCGGCCUGCUGGGCUGUUGCUGACGCUGAGGCGCGACAGCGUGGGGAGCAAACA